AAAUGACCUACGGUAGCUUUCUAUUGGCCAGCAUAUCAUAUCCAGUUCAUUUUGCUAUAACAGACCUAUCAGAACUUGGUUCCAACAGGUUUUCUAAGUCUCAGGUUUUGAAGGACCAUAUAGUAUUUGUAUUCUACAAAUGAAACUUAAUUCAAAAAACAUUUAAGCCUCGGGUACAUAAAUGGGUUGUCUAUAAGCAUAAUAGUUGCAACCAUGCGUUAGAACUGAAUUUUUUUUUAAUCUAUAAUUUAGGACAAUGUUGUAUUUUUGCUUGUUUUAUUUUUUUUCCCCCUCACAGUAUUAAGAUAAGAAAUAUCUGGCAGCUAUAUUUUAAAAGGGUUUUUUUUAAUCAUAUGUUUAAAUAUACUUUUAAACAAUAUUUACAUUUGAAAUUUCUUGUGAACAAAAGGAAAAAAGAUAUGUUUAAGGUUGGAAAUUCCCACCUAUAUAGAAAGACCUAUUUCUAGAUUAGAUGGUAUAUACCAUAACCUCUAAAGCAAUGUACCCAUCAGAGCUCUCAAAUAACCAAGGAAAUAACUUCCUUUCAAAUGUCACCAUAUGAUGCUCUAAGUAUUUAGAGUUUGUCUAACAGUGAAAAAUUAUCUUCUUAAUAAAGCAAUUAAAAUAUAAAUAUCGUUACAGAAAAAACUACCUAGAUAUUCUUUUUUUUUUUUUUUUUUUAACAAAAGGCGCUGCCUUGGACAUGAUGUUCUGCUACAGGAAAACAUUUCUUAAAAUAUGGAAAUUCUUUCAGCAAAGAAGUUGCUGCUUCAGAUCUGUUCUAGGAGCCAUUGGCAUGAAACUAAGCAUCUCAGAAGUUGAAGGGUGUCACUCUUGGCCCUUAAUUUCCCCAAAUGCAAGACCUGCAGCCAUACUUGGUCUGGUAAAUCAACCACACGGAGAUGGGAAGAACCAGUGAAGAUCCUGGUCAAAGAAUUCUACAGUAAGGCCUUAAGAAAUAACUAUCUGACUUAUUGUACAACUCAGAGGGCAAGAAACUUCCUGUAAACCAUAUGCUGAGCAGCACCUAAGCGCUAUGAUGGAUAACAAAAGAGCCCUCCCUACAUCAUAUAGAAAGUUGAUACCAUCUUUCAAGGUAAUUGCUUAUUUAUUCCUCCAAAAGCCAUGACAUCAAUUUCUAUAAGAUCCCAUCCAGGAAGAGAAGUUCAAGCUCAUCAUCACCUUUCCUAUGUGUCCCUCUAUUCUCAUCAGCAAAUAUGCAUCAUGCCAAUGUCUCUUUUGACUCUUAUGAUCAUAAGAAACAAGAACCUGCUUUAAGUCACACCAUGAAAUAAAAAGGCACCUUAUAAAAAUGAACA
rnacentral:lncRNA from 1 species